GACGAACGCUGGCGGCGUGCUUAACACAUGCAAGUCGAACGGUAAGGCCCUUCGGGGUACACGAGUGGCGAACGGGUGAGUAACACGUGGGUGAUCUGCCCUGCACUUCGGGAUAAGCCUGGGAAACUGGGUCUAAUACCGGAUAGGACCCCCGGCCUCAUGGUUGGGGGUGGAAAGGUUUUGCGGUGUGGGAUGGGCCCGCGGCCUAUCAGCUUGUUGGUGGGGUAAUGGCCUACCAAGGCGACGACGGGUAGCCGGCCUGAGAGGGUGACCGGUCACACUGGGACUGAGAUACGGCCCAGACUCCUACGGGAGGCAGCAGUGGGGAAUAUUGCACAAUGGGCGCAAGCCUGAUGCAGCGACGCCGCGUGAGGGAUGACGGCCUUCGGGUUGUAAACCUCUUUCAGCUAUGACGAAGCGCAAGUGACGGUAGUAGCAGAAGAAGGACCGGCCAACUACGUGCCAGCAGCCGCCGCGG
rnacentral:rRNA from 1 species